UACCAGCACCCCGAGUGGUCGGGACGUUUAUUGGGCCUAAAGCAUCCGUAGCCGGUCCUGCAAGUCUUCCGUUAAAUCCAGCUGCUCAACAGAUGGGCUGCGGAGGAUACUACAGGGAUAGGAGGCGGGAGAGGCAAGCGGUACUUUAUGGGUAGGGGUAAAAUCCGUUGAUCCAUAGAGGACCACCAGUGGCGAAGGCGGCUUGCCAGAACGCGCUCGACGGUGAGGGAUGAAAGCUGGGGGAGCAAACCGG
rnacentral:rRNA from 1 species